AUUGAACGCUGGCGGCAGGCUUAACACAUGCAAGUCGAGCGGAGAUGAGGUGCUUGCACCUUAUCUUAGCGGCGGACGGGUGAGUAAUGCUUAGGAAUCUGCCUAUUAGUGGGGGACAACAUUCCGAAAGGAAUGCUAAUACCGCAUACGCCCUACGGGGGAAAGCAGGGGAUCUUCGGACCUCUCGCUAAUAGAUGAGCCUAAGUCGGAUUAGCUAGUUGGUGGGGUAAAGGCCUACCAAGGCGACGAUCUGUAGCGGGUCUGAGAGGAUGAUCCGCCACACUGGGACUGAGACACGGCCCAGACUCCUACGGGAGGCAGCAGUGGGGAAUAUUGGACAAUGGGCGGAAGCCUGAUCCAGCCAUGCCGCGUGUGUGAAGAAGGCCUUUUGGUUGUAAAGCACUUUAAGCGAGGAGGAGGCUACUGGAUUAAUACUCUAGGAUAGUGGACGUUACUCGCAGAAUAAGCACCGGCUAACUCUGUGCCAGCCGCCGCAGUAAUAC
rnacentral:rRNA from 1 species